ACCCACCUCUGUCCCUGUUAGAAGCUAAUUCCCUGUGCUGGUUGCAGUUGUGAUAUACUGUAUAAACACAGCCUGGUGCUCCUCAGCCCAGAGAAGCUGACUUGGAAAACCCAACGUGUUUUCCCAGCUUAGCCUCACGGUUUCCCCCUCCAUAACUCUGACAUGGAUCACAGUCCAGUCACUUCUGCAUAUGGCCACUCUCAGUGAGCAGCUGUGAAACAGAAAGAUUUUGGUGGCAUGUUGAUUCCAAGCUUAUUUCUUGAUGGCAAAUCAUACUUGUUGGUCUCCAAAACGGAUUUUGUCAUCCCGGCUCAAGGAAAGCACCUGCGUGGGACAAAGGCAUGGAGCACACAGCGGCCAGAAGGCAUGAGUUAAAAAGAGAAGAAAUGGAUCAGUUUCCUCUGUGCUUAGGUGGAGAAUUCUCAUCAAAAUUUUCAUCAAAAUUUUU
rnacentral:lncRNA from 1 species